UCUAUACAUUGACAAUACAUGAAAACCAAAGGAAUUACGAAAGAAAUUGCUCUUCUUUGCUGCAAUGGAGGAUUUUUGCAGUCAUGCUUGGAAUAAUACUUUCAGUGUUCCCUAAAUUUUAAAGUCCUGAUGACCUGCUUUGGUCAGUUGGUGAGCGAUACUAGGAUCAAGAAGAGUACAUCUUUUCAUCCACAAACAAAUGGACAAAAUAAAGUGAUCAAUAGCACUAUGGAGCAGCUCAUACAGGCUUAUACUGAGUCAAAUCAAGAAAGGUGUGCCCUUAGAUUGCCCCAUGUUCUAAACUUCACAGGCCUGGAAAUCAUUGAAUAAUACAGUAGACCACAGUUUCAUAGCAGACGGUGCACAAAUAGGAAACCAUCCUACUGGUAGGCUAUUGUUUGAUUGAUCCACUCCUACACUGCCAAAUUCAGGUCUGAAGCCACAAUACCCCUGCACAAAGUAAAAUCAGGCAACAUUUUGAGUGGUAUUUAGAUGUAAUUAUUUUCCAGCGCCAGAUGGCACUCAGAUGAUCUGUAUGUGAAUAUUAUGGCAGUCUAAACAAUUCAAUACAAUUUGCUGGCAAACUCUGUUGAAAAGUGAUCCAAUGAUAUUGCAACACUAUAUAUAUUAUCAUUGUGAUUUAUGUUAAAAAUCAGAUCUGUAACUGCUAGACGUAAAGAUGGAAAUAGGGGUUAAAUAUUGUAGAGUUGUUUCUGAAUGCACUGCUGUUUAACACCAAGCUUCUCAUAUAAAAUUCACCAACCUAAUUAUCUAUGUAAAUAAUACUACCGCCUGUGGAUAUGUUUUUCCAGCUAGACAUGUUCUUUGUUUAUCAGUAAUUCAAAGGUCCAUUACAACAAUAGAAAGAAGUUGUUUUGAUGUUUGAAUCUAAUUGCUUCCUCGUGUAUUUUUAAUUUUCUAGUUUAUAUUUUCUAGAAAAGAAAGGAUUCUGUAUUGUUCUAAAAAAACUCUCUUUCUAGAACGUGUUUAUUUCCUGGAAGACAUUGCUUUGCCCUAAACGGUUUUAUUCUCCAAGAAGGAUUCAUGUUUCAAAAAAUUGAGAUUUAGUCUGCAUAUAACUAAUUGAUUGCAUUUGACUAAUUAUUUAAUUUAAUUUAAUUUAAAUAUUUAAGUUGUGCUUAAUUUAAUUACUUGCAUUGUAUUUGCUUGCAGAAAAUAAUAGGAAAAAAAUAGACUGCGUAAUCAUUUAACUCUAUUUAGUGAAGCUAAAAGUAGAUAAAUUUAUUUAUUUCAACCCAUUAGAUUAAGUUUGUUUUAUUAUCUUCAUCAUAUUAAUUUGAUUAUUUACAACACCCAAAAUAUUACAAAACCACAAACUCAAUCAAAAGAAUUGGAGUCCUUCUGGAAACAUUAUCAAGCAAAUAAAAACAUUCGAACAAACUCCAACAAGACAAACAAGCACAAAGAUCUUCCAACAUAUCUAAAAGCAAAAACAAAUUACAAAACAACGUAAGGAUAUAAUCAUUAGCUGAAUGUGCCUUGGACUUUCAAGAAGAGAUUUUUCCUAUUCUUAUCACUAUCAUGCUUGAUCAUAUGUAUUUAAAAUUACAAGUGAGAUAUAUCACAAUCCCACCUAUUCCAAGUACUCUACCUCAACCUAGACAACCAAUG